rnacentral:rRNA from 1 species
UACGUAGGUGGCAAGCGUUGUCCGGAUUUACUGGGCGUAAAGGGCGUGCAGGCGGUUUGUUUAGUCCAGGGUGAAAGCUCCCGGCUCAACUGGGAGAGGUCCUUGGAUACUGGCAGACUUGAGGGAGGCAGAGGAAAGUGGAAUUCCCGGUGUAGUGGUGAUAUGCGUAGAUAUCGGGAGGAACACCAGUGGCGAAGGCGGCUUUCUGGGCCUUACCUGACGCUGAGACGCGAAAGCGUGGGGAGCGAACCGG